rnacentral:rRNA from 1 species
GACGAACGCUGGCGGCGUGCUUAACACAUGCAAGUCGAACGGCAAGGCCCUGCUUUCGUGGUGUGCUCGAGUGGCGAACGGGUGAGUAACACGUGAGUAACCUGCCCUUCACUUUCGGAUAACUUCAGGAAACUGGGGCUAAUACCGGAUAGGAGCUCCUCCUGCAUGGUGGGGGUUGGAUCGUUGCGGCGGUUGGGGAUGGACUAGCGGCUUAUCAGCUUGUUGGUGGGGGAGUGGCUUACCAAGUCUUUCACGGGUAGCCGGCCUGAGAGGGUGACCGGCGACAUGGGGACUGAGAUACGGCCCAGACUCCUACGGUAGGCAGCAGUGGGGAAUAUUGCACAAUGGGCGGAAGCCGGAUGCAGCAACGCCGCGUGCGGGAUGACGGCCUUCGGGGUGUAAACCGCUUUCGCCUGUGACGAAGCGUGUGUGACGGUAAUGGGUAAAGAAGCACCGGCUAACUACGUG